GACGAACGCUGGCGGCGUGCUUAACACAUGCAAGUCGAACGGAAAGGCACUGCUUUUGUGGGGUGACCGAGUGGCGAACGGGUGAGUAACACGUGAGUAACCUGAUCUUGACUUUGGGAUAACUUAAGGAAACUGGGGCUAAUCUAGGAUAGGAGCUCAUGCAGCAUGGAGGGGGUUGGAAAGUUUCGGCGGUUGGGGAUGGACGCGCGGCUUAUGAGCUUGCUGGUGGGGUAGGCGCAUACCAAGUAUUUGGCGGGUAGCUGGCCUGAGAGGGUGACCAGCGACAUGAGGACUAAGAGACGGCCCAGUCGCCUACGGGGGGCAGCGGUGGGGAAUAUUGCACAAUGAUCGGAAGCCUGAUGCGACAACCCCGCGUUCGUAAUGACGUCCUUCUGGUUGUAAACCGCUUUCGCCUGUUACGAAGCUUGAGUGACGGUAAUGAGUAAAUAAGCACCGGCUAACUACGUG
rnacentral:rRNA from 1 species